rnacentral:sRNA from 1 species
GUUGCAAUGUCAUCUCCAUGUGCCAACUCUUGAUAACAGCUCUCCUAUUCUAUAGGGUUUCUCACAGUAGAAGUGGACACAAUGGAGCCAACUGAUUCUGUUUUAAGGUUUAAAAAAAAAAGAGGUGGUAAACAAAACCAUUUCAUAUUGGUGUAAUCUCAGAGUAGUGUUGUUUCUAUGAUAGUUGAGUUCAACAAAUCCCUACUUGUCCUGCGCUAUCGUCUCGCCAGCAAGAACGCACUCGGACACCAGGAUCCUUCUGCAGCAAAGCGUUUAUUGCAUCUUGAAGAGGAAGACCACGAGGCCCCGCGAGCGAUCCCCUAUAUAGUCCCCAAGACUGUGUGUCCACGUCUAAUUGGUCGCUUACUCAUGAUCUCACUGUCACGCCACGGGGUGGGCAAAAACUUGGCGCGAACACACUCUUGCACAUGCGCACACAGCUUGUUUCCUGAAAAGAGGUCGGGCUGGUACAGCGGAAGCCAGCGCCAUCUUGUGAUGGCGAAUGCUAUCGCGGCUUUCCACACCUACUGAGUCUAAAGGGUUUCCAUUAUCAUCAUGGUGGGCAGCGUGGUGACCCACAGACACACAUGAUGCUGGAGAAGAAGAUGAGAGCUUCAUCUCCCGGCAUGCAGGCAGCAGACAGGAAGAGAUGAUAGGCCUGGCAUGGACUUCCGAGACUUCCUAGCCUACCCCCAGUGACACAGCUCCUCUAACGCGGCCACACCUCCCAGGGCUUCCAAAACCUUCCACUAACUGGAGACCAACAUCCAAACAUAUGCACCUACAGGAACCGUUCCCAUUGAAAGCACCACACCAUCUCCAUUCGACCGUGUUUUGCAAGGUGACUCUCUGUAAGCUUACCUGCAUUUUCAGGGCCAUGUCAGAGUUUUGUGAAAUAAGUUGAGAACUUGAGAAAGUAGGAGCAACUCCAACAGUGACUGUAAAGGUGGAAUUAAUUAGAAAGAUCAAAGUCAAUCUGCUGGCAUGGCUAGCCACUGUGACCUGAACGGACCAUUUACCUUGGCUGGACUCUGAAUUCCUCACUUGCUGAAUAAGAAAUGAUGCCUGCCUACUAAAGACGAACUAGGAUUCUCGGAAAAGACUUGGCAGACUUCUUUUGACUUAAGCCGGGUUUGGUCUACUGGAACCUUAUGUGCAUCGGUUAGCUUUCGGCUUCCUCACCUCUGAUCCAUCUUAAGAGAGUGUCGAAUUCAAAAAGUCACCCCUUUGGACAAGCAAAGUCUUGGCUGUAUUGGAAGUCCUCCGUGUCUCAGAGUGGCCAUUUAACCAACGUAACUCUACACAGCAACCCCAAGCAUGACUUCGAAGUCUGAAUGAGGAGGACGAUAGCCACACCAACACCACGGAGUCAUUAGCCCAGCUGCGGCUUUGAUCUGCUGGCUCGUUACUGUGGACCACAGAUGUUGCCUGCCAUUGUCCCACCCUGCAGAGAGGUCAGCAUGCUGUAAUUCACAGACUGAAGCAUUUGAAGAGAUACCAGGGAGCCAUCAACCAGGCUUUCGAAACAGCAAGGAAUCUACAUUCUGAGAACUUUACUGUGGCAAGAAAUCAGGACAAAGUCUGCCUUUUGUUGUCCUGGAUGCUCAAGGAAUCUUCCCGUCAACAGCCCAAGAGAGACCAGAAGCCUGAAGCAGCUCGACAGCUGGAAAAUUAUGUCCUCUUAUUACAAACCAUGGGAGCACCUAGUGGACGUCUGGACUGCUUGCUCGACCCACAGCAUCUGCAGCUCUCUUCUCUGCUGUUCUCUGAUGAGGAAACUGAUGCCCCUUGUGACCAAAACUGUUCAAAUGGACUUUGUCCAGUGGUGUACAAGCGUCUCAGUCUUCUGUGUCCUUUCGCUCAGACAGGAGGGAAACGUCCACGAAGAGGCUGUAGAUUUCUGUCCAGCUGAAAGCUUCUCUCCAAGUGAGCCAAGACCUGUCUGGCCACCCAGGACAGAAAGGCUAAACAGGAAUUGGAAAUUGAAACUAAGGAGUACAUGGGCAGGUAUCAGCAGAGGCUUCCCACCAAGUCCAUGGAUGGAUUCGACUGACUGUGUUAUAUCCAGAAAUCCAUGAUAAAACAUCCAGGACGCAGCCAUGAGGAAGGCAAACCCUUAAGGGAAAUUUGAAGAAAAACACCAUCCCCGUUAUUGAUAUUCUCAGGGAGGGGCUGUGUGAGCCUUUUAUUCCCUUUGGAGAGAGUUAAAAGGAAAGGAAAGCAAUC